rnacentral:rRNA from 1 species
AACGAACGCUGGCGGCAGGCCUAACACAUGCAAGUCGAGCGCCCCGCAAGGGGAGCGGCGGACGGGUGAGUAACGCGUGGGAAUAUGCCCUUUGCUACGGAAUAGUCUCGGGAAACUGGGGGUAAUACCGUAUACGCCCUUUGGGGGAAAGAUUUAUCGGCGAAGGAUUAGCCCGCGUUGGAUUAGGUAGUUGGUGGGGUAAUGGCCUACCAAGCCGACGAUCCAUAGCUGGUUUGAGAGGAUGAUCAGCCACACUGGGACUGAGACACGGCCCAGACUCCUACGGGAGGCAGCAGUGGGGAAUCUUAGACAAUGGGGGCAACUCUGAUCUAGCCAUGCCGCGUGAGUGAUGAAGGCCUUAGGGUUGUAAAGCUCUUUCAGCUGGGAAGAUAAUGACGGUACCAGCAGAAGAAGCCCCGGCUAACUCCGUG